AUUGAAGGAGAAUUCCAUGUCAUAGUCAAAAACAUUUUUAGAUAACUUUCAUCACGACCAAAUAGCUCCAAACAUAAAGAAGUGCAUACAUGCUAACAACAGUGAUAAAGUGACAAAAUGACAAGAGGAUAACCCAUGAAAGUCUCCGGCCUCUCAGCUAAAGUACUCAUAACACCAACAUUUGAUAAAUAUAAGGUGAUAGCUACUAGUUCCUCAUUCCUCUUCCUCGUCACCACCUGCAUCGCCACCACCACUUGCCUUCUUCUGGUUCUUUCUCUUCACCCGGCCUGCAGGG
rnacentral:lncRNA from 1 species